GUUGUUAGUAGGUACAGUGCGUACUAGUGGUUUUGGUGUUUGGGCAGUUUGGCAGAGGGUAGGGUUCAUUUCACUCAUCACGGACCGACCGGCGACCGCACCCAAUGCAAGCAAUUUUUGCGGACAGGGGGACCUUCCUCUUCUUCUUCCUCGUCCCCGGCCCCUGCCCCUCUCCCCUGCGGAGACGGAGCGCCACCUUCCUCACCUUCUAGAAAGAACUAGAACCCUCCCUCCAGAACCUUGAAGACCAGCCCAGACCAGACCAGCCCCGAAGCUCUCCGCCGGCCCCGCCCUUGACGACAUGAAGCACCAGCCGCCGCGCCGCUGGGGCGUCGUGGCGGCGGUCGUCGCACUCGUCCUCCUCGCCUGCCUCCAGAUCCAGUACCACCACCUCAAGGUGGAUCUCGGCAAGGCCGGCUUUGCCUCUGCCACGCAAGAGAAUAACGCGAUCCGCAGCCGCAAUCGCAUUCGCUGGGGCCCCGACAGGAACGGCGCCCACUCCUUGCCGCGCGGGAUUGUCCACCGCCACUCCGACAUGUCCCUCCGCCCGCUCUGGGAGGACGACACUGCUUCCACCCACAAGAAUAAAAACAGUGACUACAGUGCUCUCCUCGCCAUGGCAGUCGGCAUCUCCCAAAUAAAAAACAUUGACACUAUGGCCCGUAAGUUUCUGAAGGAAAACUAUGCAGUCAUGCUCUUCCAUUAUGAUGGAAAUGUAGAUGGAUGGCGUCAUCUUGAGUGGAGUGAUAAGGCCAUACACAUCCUUGCUCACAACCAAACAAAAUGGUGGUUUGCUAAGCGUUUUCUGCAUCCUGAUGUCAUGGCUAUCUAUGAUUUCAUUUUUCUAUGGGAUGAAGACCUUGGAGUGGAGAACUUCAACCCUAGAAGAUAUCUUGAUAUAAUGGUGUCCGAAGGCUUGGAAAUAACACAACCUGCUCUGGACCCUGAUCUAUCAACUGAUAUCCACCAUCGAAUCACAAUCCGUAAUAAGAUGGCAAAAGUUCACAGGAGAAUAUACGACAAUCGGCCUAGUAUGAAUUGUUCUGACGAGAGCAAAGGACCUCCAUGUACAGGGUGGGUAGAGGGCAUGGCACCAGUUUUUUCUCGCACUGCUUGGAAAUGUGUAUGGCAUCUAAUUCAGAAUGAUCUUAUUCAUGGAUGGGGUCUUGACAUGAAGCUUGGAUAUUGCGCUCAGGUUCUCAAUAUAUGUUAACAGUCUUAAAAGAUAUUUUGAUAGGAUGUCUGUUGACUAUUGAGGGUGAUCGAACAGAGAAAGUUGGUGUUAUUGACAGUGAGUAUGUAGUUCAUCAAGGGAUACCAUCAUUAGGAGGGCCAUCACUUAGCAGCAAGACACCUCGAAGAUCAUUGGAUUUGAGGACCCACAUACGAAGACAAUCAUCGGCUGAGCUGGAGAAGUUCAAGGAGAGGUGGAACAGGGCUGUAAGGGAAGAUGAAGGAUGGAGGGAUCCUUUUGAUUCUUGAUUACUUGGAAAGCAGAGUGUGACACUUCUGAUAACAAAACUGGCCAGUGGCCACAGUCACAGCAGUAGAGUUUGGAAGCGGAGAGCAUCUUCUGCUUCAUGUCAAAAACACUUGUUUGGUUAUAGGAUGACGAGACGGUUGGUUGGUUAUAGGAUGAUGACUUACAUACACACACACACAUCAUAACUUUAUCCACAUGAGUUAAAAGCGGGAACAUUAUCGUCAAUACAAGGAGCUGAUGGAGAAGUUGAAACUAACAAAGUAACAGGGGGUUUCCGAAAGUGCUGUAAUUUUCCGUUGGAAAUAUCUGUUCGGGAGAGUUGUAUAGUGUCAUGAUAUACACACUUGUGCAGUUAUUUGAUGAGGAAACUUACAUAGCCUAGAGCAGAUGUGUUUCCUAUAUUAUUAUUGCCUUGUACAAUGUAAGAUGAAUUCCAUGAGUCAGAAAUAGCAUCAGGUCUCUAUGCUUAUACUUGGACAA